rnacentral:rRNA from 1 species
AUUGAACGCUGGCGGCAUGCCUUACACAUGCAAGUCGAACGGUAACAGGUCUUCGGAUGCUGACGAGUGGCGAACGGGUGAGUAAUACAUCGGAACGUGCCUAGUAGUGGGGGAUAACUACUCGAAAGAGUGGCUAAUACCGCAUGAGAUCUACGGAUGAAAGCAGGGGAUCGCAAGACCUUGUGCUACUAGAGCGGCCGAUGGCAGAUUAGGUAGUUGGUGGGAUAAAAGCUUACCAAGCCGACGAUCUGUAGCUGGUCUGAGAGGACGAUCAGCCACACUGGGACUGAGAAACGGCCCAGACUCCUACGGGAGGCAGCAGUGGGGAAUUUUGGACAAUGGGCGCAAGCCUGAUCCAGCAAUGCCGCGUGCAGGAUGAAGGCCUUCGGGUUGUAAACUGCUUUUGUACGGAACGAAAAGCCCCGGGUUAAUACCCUGGGGUCAUGACGGUACCGUAAGAAUAAGCACCGGCUAACUACGUGCCAGCAGCCGCCGCCG